GACAGAGGGGGCAAGCGUUGCUCGGAAUCACUGGGCGUAAAGGGCGCGUAGGCGGGAUGGCAAGUCAGUCGUGAAAUCUCUCGGCUCAACCGAGAAACGUCGGCUGAUACUGCCGUUCUUGAGGGAUGCAGAGGAGACUGGAAUUCCCGGUGUAGCGGUGAAAUGUGUAGAGAUCGGGAGGAACACCGGUGGCGAAGGCGGGUCUCUGGGCAUCUCCUGACGCUGAGGCGCGAAAGCGUGGGGAG
rnacentral:rRNA from 1 species